rnacentral:tRNA from 1 species
GCCCGGGUAGCUCAAUUGGUCAGAGCGUGCGGCUUUUAAAUAGAGCCACCGCAAGGCUGGGGGUUCGAGACCCCCCUCGGGCG